AAACUUAAAGGAAUUGACGGGGACCCGCACAAGCAGCGGAGCGUGUGGUUUAAUUCGUUGCUACACGAAGAACCUUACCUGGGUUUGACAUAUAGGUUGUAGGGAACCUGAAAAGGGACCGACCCUUCGGGGAGCCUAUACAGGUGUUGCAUGGGCUGUCGUCAGCUCGUGUCGUGAGAUGUUCGGUUAAGUCCGCUAACGAGCGCAACCCUCGUCGUAUGUUAUAUGUGUCAUACGAGACUGCCGGUAAAAGCCGGAGGAAGGUGAGGAUGAUGUCAAGUCAGCAUGACCUUUAUAUCCAGGGCUACACACACGCUACAAUGGUCUGUACAAUGGGUAGCCAAGCCGCGAGGCGGAGCCAAUCCUGAAAGCAGGCCUCAGUUCAGAUUGCAGUCUGCAACUCGACUGCAUGAAGCCGGAGUUGCUAGUAACCGCAGGUCAGCAAUACUGCGUUGAAUACGUUCCCGGGGCUU
rnacentral:rRNA from 1 species